rnacentral:rRNA from 1 species
GAUGAACGCUGGCGGCGUGCCUAAUACAUGCAAGUCGAGCGAACAGAUGAGGAGCUUGCUCCUCUGACGUUAGCGGCGGACGGGUGAGUAACACGUGGAUAACCUACCUAUAAGACUGGGAUAACUUCGGGAAACCGGAGCUAAUACCGGAUAAUAUAUUGAACCGCAUGGUUCAAUAGUGAAAGACGGUUUCGCUGUCACUUAUAGAUGGAUCCGCGCCGCAUUAGCUAGUUGGUAAGGUAACGGCUUACCAAGGCGACGAUGCGUAGCCGACCUGAGAGGGUGAUCGGCCACACUGGAACUGAGACACGGUCCAGACUCCUACGGGAGGCAGCAGUAGGGAAUCUUCCGCAAUGGGCGAAAGCCUGACGGAGCAACGCCGCGUGAGUGAUGAAGGUCUUCGGAUCGUAAAACUCUGUUAUUAGGGAAGAACAAAUGUGUAAGUAACUAUGCACGUCUUGACGGUACCUAAUCAGAAAGCCACGGCUAACUACGUG